rnacentral:rRNA from 1 species
CCCAGACUCCUACGGGAGGCAGCAGUAGGGAAUAUUGGUCAAUGGGCGGGAGCCUGAACCAGCCAUGCCGCGUGAAGGCGAGUGCCCUACGGGCGUUAAACUUCUUUUGUGCGGGAGCAAUAAGGGCCACGCGUGGCCCGAUGAGAGUACCGCACGAAUAAGCAUCGGCUAACUCCGUGCCAGCAGCCGCGGUAAUACGGAGGGUGCAAGCGUUGUCCGGAAUCAUUGGGCGUAAAGAGUUCGUAGGCGGUAUGUUAAGUCUGGUGUUAAAUGCAGAAGCUCAACUUCUGUUCGGCACUGGAUACUGGCAAACUAGAAUGCGGUAGAGGUAAAGGGAAUUCCUGGUGUAGCGGUGAAAUGCUUAGAUAUCAGGAGGAACAUCGGUGGCGUAAGCGCUUUACUGGGCCGUAAUUGACGCUGAGGAACGAAAGCCAGGGUAGCAAAUGGGAUUAGAUACCCCUGUAGA